rnacentral:rRNA from 1 species
CUGGCGGCGUGCUUACACAUGCAAGUCGGAUGCGAACGCUGGUUUCGGCUGGUAAGUAGCAUGGCAGACGGGUGAGGAACACGUACUUAACCUGACGCGUGAUGGGGGAUAGUCUCUCGAAAGAGGGUUGAAUACCGCAUAGGCUCUUGAGGUGUAAGGCUUCAGGAGGAAAGUUGGCCUCUGCGUGCAAGCUGAUGUCAUGCGAGGGGGGUGCGUCCUAUUAGCUAGCUGGGAGGGUAAUGGCCUACCAGGGCGACGAUGGGUAGCUGGUCUGAGAGGAUGAUCAGUCACACUGGGACUGAGACACGGCCCAGACUCCUACGGGAGGCAGCAGUGGGGAAUUUUGCGCAAUGGGCGCAAGCCUGACGCAGCAACGCCGCGUGAGUGAAGACGCCUUUCGGGGUGUAAAGCUCUGUCAGUGGGGACGAAGGUGUGGUGAUGAACAGUUGCCAGGCGUGACGGUACCCACGAAGGAAGCCCCGGCUAACUCCGUGCGCCGCGGUAAGACGGAGGGGGCGAGCGUUGUUCGGAAUUACUGCGCGUAAAGCGCACGCAGGCGGCGUGCCAAGUGCGAAGUGAAAGCCCUCGGCUUAACCGGGGAAGG